rnacentral:rRNA from 1 species
UACAGAGGUCUCAAGCGUUGUUCGGAUUCAUUGGGCGUAAAGGGUGCGUAGGCGGCGCGGUAAGUCGGGUGUGAAAUCUUGGAGCUUAACUCCGAAACUGCAUUCGAUACUGCCGUGCUUGAGGACUGGAGAGGAGACUGGAAUUUACGGUGUAGCGGUGAAAUGCGCAGAUAUCAGGAAGAACACCAAUGGCGAAGGCAGCUCUCUGGGACGGUACUGACACUGAGGAGCGAAAGCGUGGGGAGCGAACAGG